rnacentral:lncRNA from 1 species
UUAAAAUACUUGAUUUCCUGUGACUUAACUUCGAUGUUAUCUUGAGCUCCGACUGCAGCAGAGCCUGCAGUCUAGAUCCAACUAGCACAGACUCGCAACAACUGGAAAUCUGGGUUAAAAGUCUUGUAGUGUAACUCCAGCUUAAGUGAUAAUAUUGUUGGUGAAAACUGUUGAUAUCCAUAACACAGUCAGUAAAGUGACCUGUUCAUUAGUGUUUUAGUUUAGUGUUUGUGUGAUUUUUUUUUUUAUAGAGAGAAAUAAAAGUGACAUUAAUGACAUUUUAUUAAUUUUGUAAAUAUUGUAUACAAAAAAAAACAUACAGUUUAAAAUGUACACACAUUUAUCUAAAACUAAAUAGAUAAAAAUAUACUGUUGAAAAUAGUGGUUUUACACUUUUAAAUGCUGCUGGAUUUUUAAUAUAUUCAUAAAAAACUUAAUGGUAAAAAUGUCAAUAAUAUAUUAACACACAAGUCCUUCACCAUCACAUUUAGAAAAAAGGAUAUAUACUUCUAUGAUCAGAUCAUGUUAAUUUUGGUUUUGCAUGAUCAUCUGACUUUUUUUUAAUGAUAUCUGUUUUUUUGUUUUUUUUCUGGUGUCUGAGAGCUGUGACCUGUGCCACAGUGUGAUUCUCUUUCCCUCUCUAGGUGUGGCAGUGUUUAAGAAAAACAAGAGUCACGAAACUCUGCCCUCUCAUGGAACAACAGUGUCUAGGAGCUAUAUUCGAGAGAGACUUCCCUCUCUAGGUAUACUAUACCUGUCCAACCUAAUCAAAUAAAAACUAACUCAGUAUGGGUUAGCCUCACAUUGCAUCUGAUUCUUUUUUUUUUCUUUUUAUAUGUUUGGUGUGAAGUAGUACAGUCACUAGAACACACAAAGUAAGCUCUUUGGAAUAGCUGGAUUUCUGCAUUGUUUACUUUUAAGAUGUGAUCUGGUUGUUAUUUAAGUUACAAUUACACUUGUACUUGUACUACUUGUACAGUUAUACUAGUACAUCUAAAAAAAAUAGAAUAUCAUUGAAAGUUACUUUAUUUCAGUAAUUUUAUUUAAAUUGUGAAACUCCAAUAUUAUAUAAAUGUAUUACACACAGAGUGAUCUAUUUUAAGCCUUUAUUUAUUUUAUUGUUGAUGAUUAUGGCUUACAGCCAAUAAAAACACAAAAGUCCCAUAAGACCA